CGUUAUUCGACAGUCCACGAAUGUGGAUGUGGAUGCCCCUGAGAGCUCGGUGGUUCUGAAUACGCAUUUUAUCACCCAAUCAGCAGAAGAUAUUCAUAGGAAACUGCAGAAAAUGCAACUGGGUCCCUGAACCCCAAUGGCAGAUCUCCUUGCCCAAGCCUUUAGGGUCUUUAACAACCGCGAGGGAGAUCGAGAGCGGAGAAAAGACUCCAGGGUCCGGCUUCAAGCCCAGACUCAGGCCCACAUGAUUGCGGCAGCCUUAGGGAUUCCCCUGGAAAACCCAAAAGGGAGAUCGCAGACCGCACAGACCUGUUACAAAUGCAGGAAACCCGGCCACUGGGCUCGUAAUUGCCCCACCCGUGCUCAAUCCACGCAGGACCUCUUAAAUUUAAAAUCUCCCGUCACUACCCUGACACCAGAAAUCUGCAGACCAACCUGGUGACUCCUCCCUGGAAAAGCCUCCGUCGCCGCAUUCUUGAGUUCUCUAGCUGGUUUGGAAUGUUUCCUAUUACCGUCUGUCCCUCGGUCCUUUCCUCAGAUCCAUCUUGCUGUUUCUACGUACCACAUCAAGUGGGGAAGACACUGCGUGUGAUGCCUUCUGGUUCCCCAUGACUAUCUUGUAUUUGCUUGUACUAAUCCUACUCCUCUUCUCUGUCGAAUAUCCUGAAAUCCGUUGUC